ACAGAAAUCUCUGUCAACACAUAUUCAGGCUGGACAAGGCAACUCAGCGUGAAGAAAAGGAUCCCAUGAGCACACAAAAGAGUCAGCAACAAUCUCACUUGUCCUGUUAGGAGUCCAGCAAAACUCCCAGGUAUCCUCUUAGGACAUCUUCCUCCGUUGGACACCUUUGACAUGGCAUGAAUUCCUGUUCCUGAGACCCACAGCCCACUGUGCAAAGUCUGAAAUACUGUUCAGGGCAGAACGCAUGUAGAAGGCAGUACAGCAGGAUCAAAUGCAGCCACCAGCUUCUCCGUGAGCUCCUUUGCAACAAGUCACCGUCUAUCCCUGAGAGUAAUCAGAGGAUUUAUUUGCACUCUGUUGGCUAAUUGCUCCCAUACUGAGCCAGAUCUUAACAAAAUACCCUUAGCGAUAUUGAGAUUUCUGGUCUCUAUUAUGAAGCAGUUGAUAUAUUGCCAUGCUUAUAUCCUGUCAGCAUAGUUUGAUUUAAUUUUCUUGUUAGUACAACUGAUUUCUGAGAGUCCUUAGAACUAAAUAUGAUGUAAAUAUCACAAGAUAUGAAGAUAUGAUGUGAAUGUUGAGCAGACGGGUACCUGGAGUGUGUAGAGAUAUGACAUAAAUGUUUGAAAUAAUGGACAUGCAAAUUACUCUAAUUUGAUUACUACACAUUGUAUGCAUAUAUUAAAGCGUCACAGUAUA